UCCUAAUCACCAGUCCCACCUUCGACGGCUCCCCCACAACGGUUAGGCCACCGGCUUCGGGUGUUACCAACUUUCAUGACUUGACGGGCGGUGUGUACAAGCCCCGGGAACGUAUUCACCGCAGCGUUGCUGAUCUGCGAUUACUAGCGACUCCGACUUCAUGAGGUCGAGUUGCAGACCCCAAUCCGAACUGAGACCGGCUUUCCGAGAUUCGCUCACCCUCACAGGCUCGCCACUCUCUGUACCAGCCAUUGUAGCAUGCGUGAAGCCCUGGACAUAAGGGGCAUGAUGACUUGACGUCAUCCCCACCUUCCUCCGAGUUGACCCCGGCGGUCUCCACUGAGUCCCCACCAUAACGUGCUGGCAACAGUGAACAAGGGUUGCGCUCGUUGCGGGACUUAACCCAACAUCUCACGACACGAGCUGACGACAGCCAUGCACCACCUGUGAACCGACCCCAAAAGAGGCACACCCAUCUCUGAGCACUCCCGAUCCAUGUCAAACCCAGGUAAGGUUCUACGCGUUGCAUCGAAUUAAUCCGCAUGCUCCGCCGCUUGUGCGGGGCCCCGUCAAUUCCUUUGAGUUUUAGCCUUGCGGCCGUACUCCCCAGGCGGGGUACUUAAAGCGUUAGCUACGGCACGGAACCCGUGGAAUGGACCCCACACCUAGUACCCACCGUUUACAGCGUGGACUACCAGGGUAUCUAAGCCUGUUCGCUCCCCACGCUUUCGCUCCUCAGCGUCAGGAAAGGCCCAGAGAACCGCCUUCGCCACUGGUGUUCCUCCUGAUAUCUGCGCAUUCCACCGCUCCACCAGGAAUUCCAUUCUCCCCUACCUUCCUCAAGUCAACCCGUAUCGAAAGCACGCUCAGGGUUAAGCCCCAAGAUUACACUUCCGACGCGAUCAACCACCUACGAGCCCUUUACGCCCAAUAAAUCCGGACAACGCUCGCACCCUACGUAUCACCGCGGCUGCUGGCACGUAGUUAGCCGGUGCUUCUUUACCCAUUACCGUCACUCACGCUUCGUCACAGGCGAAAGCGGUUUACAACCCGAAGGCCGUCAUCCCGCACGCGGCGUUGCUGCAUCAGGCUUCCGCCCAUUGUGCAAUAUUCCCCACUGCUGCCUCCCGUAGGAGUCUGGGCCGUAUCUCAGUCCCAAUGUGGCCGGUCACCCUCUCAGGCCGGCUACCCGUCAAAGCCUUGGUAAGCCACUACCCCACCAACAAGCUGAUAAGCCGCGAGUCCAUCCCCAACCGCCGAAACUUUCCAACCCCCACCAUGCAGCAGGAGCUCCUAUCCGGUAUUAGCCCCAGUUUCCUGAAGUUAUCCCAAAGUCAAGGGCAGGUUACUCACGUGUUACUCACCCGUUCGCCACUCGAGCACCCCACAAAAGCAGGGCCUUUCCGUUCGACUUGCAUGUGUUAAGCACGCCGCCAG
rnacentral:rRNA from 1 species